UGCCUACGGGGCGCAGCAGUAGGGAAUUUUCGUCAAUGGGCGCAAGCCUGAACGAGCGAUGCCGCGUGAGCGAAGAAGGCCUUCGGGUCGUAAAGCUCUGUUGCGGGGGAAAAAAGGCAGCAUCAGGAAAUGGGCGCUGACUGAUGUUACCCCUCCAGAAAGUCACGGCUAACUACGUGCCAGCAGCCGCGGUAAUACGUAGGUGGCGAGCGUUAUCCGGAAUGAUUGGGCGUAAAGGUUGCGCAGGCGGUC
rnacentral:rRNA from 1 species